AUGGUUAUUUCUCCUCUGCCCUCUCUUCCUCGUGUCUGUGCAUUACUGGUUCACCAGAAAGUUCAGUGCGAAAAGGCAGCGCCUCCCGCCUUCGCCGCCGGCCCUGCCCAUCAUCGGGCACCUCCACCUCAUCGGUUCCCUCCCCCACGUCUCCCUCCGCGGCCUCGCAAGGAAGCAUGGCCCCCGACGUGA
rnacentral:rRNA from 1 species